rnacentral:rRNA from 1 species
UACGUAGGGUGCGAGCGUUAAUCGGAAUUACUGGGCGUAAAGCGUGCGCAGGCGGUUUUGUAAGCCAGAUGUGAAAUCCCCGGGCUUAACCUGGGAAUGGCAUUUGGGACUGCAAAGCUUGAGUGCGGCAGAGGGGACUGGGAAUUCCUGGUGUAGCAGUGAAAUGCGUAGAGAUCAGGAGGAAUACCGAUGGCGAAGGCAGGUCCCUGGGCUGACACUGACGCUCAUGCACGAAAGCGUGGGGAGCAACAGG